rnacentral:rRNA from 1 species
UACGUAGGGUGCAGGCGUUAAUCGGAAUUACUGGGCGUAAAGCGUGCGCAGGCGGUUUCUUAAGUCAGAUGUGAAAGCCCCGGGCUUAACCUGGGAACUGCGUUUGAAACUGGGAGACUUGAGUGUGGCAGAGGGGGGUGGAAUUCCACGUGUAGCAGUGAAAUGCGUAGAUAUGUGGAGGAACACCGGUGGCGAAGGCGGCGACCUGGUCCUUGACUGACGCUGAGGCGCGAAAGCGUGGGGAGCAAACAGG